CAGCUCCAAUAGCGUAUAUUAAAAUUGUUGCAGUUAAAAAGCUCGUAGUUGAAUUUCUGCUAAAAAUAACCGGUCUGCUUUUAAUAAAGGUGGUAUCUUGGUGUGUUUUUAGCAAUAAUGUCCUUUGAAAUGUUUUUUACUUCAUUGUAAUAAAUUAUAUUUAGGAUUUUUACUUUGAGAAAAUUAGAGUGUUUCUAGCAGGCUAAUGCUUUGAAUACUGCAGCAUGGAAUAAUAAAAUAGGAUUUUGGUUCUACAUUAUUGGUUUUAAGAGCUAAAUUAAUGAUUGAUAGGGACAGUUGGGGGCAUUUGUAUUUAACUGUCAGAGGUGAAAUUCUU
rnacentral:rRNA from 1 species